rnacentral:rRNA from 1 species
UGACCUCAAAUCAGGUAGGACUACCCGCUGAACUUAAGCAUAUCAAUAAGCGGAGGAAAAGAAACUAACAAGGAUUCCCCUAGUAACUGCGAGUGAAGCGGGAAAAGCUCAAAUUUAAAAUCUGGCAGUCUUUUGGCUGUCCGAGUUGUAAUCUAGAGAAGUGUUAUCCGCGCUGGACCAUGUACAAGUCUCCUGGAAUGGAGCAUCAUAGAGGGUGAGAAUCCCGUCUUUGACAUGGACUUCCAGGGCUUUGUGAUGCGCUCUCAAAGAGUCGAGUUGUUUGGGAAUGCAGCUCAAAAUGGGUGGUAAAUUCCAUCUAAAGCUAAAUAUUGGCGAGAGACCGAUAGCGAACAAGUACCGUGAGGGAAAGAUGAAAAGAACUUUGGAAAGAGAGUUAAACAGUACGUGAAAUUGCUGAAAGGGAAACGCUUGAAGUCAGUCGCGUCGUCCAGGGAUCAACCUUGCUUUUGCUUGGUGCACUUCCUGGUUUGAUGGGUCAGCAUCAAUUUUGACUAUUGGAAAAAGGUUAAGGGAAUGUGGCAUCUUUGGAUGUGUUUAUAGCCCUUGGUCACAUACAAUGGUUGGGAUUGAGGAACUCAGCACGCCGCAAGGCCGGGUUUAAACCACGUACGUGCUAGGAUGC